rnacentral:tRNA from 1 species
GCCUCUGUAGCUCAGUCUGGUAGAGCGCUUCCUUGGUAAGGAAGAGGUCCCGGGUUCAAUUCCCGGCAGGGGCU